rnacentral:lncRNA from 1 species
UGCAACGUCUAUGUAGCAAAGGACCUACACGAUGUGGACUGAUAUAUUACCAUCCUUGGAUGCCCCAAUUAUAAUAAUUGGACUUUAGAAUUCCUCUUGACCCAACUCUUGACCCAGCUCCUAAGUGGGUCAACAAAACUGGAUAACCCAACAAGAUCGAAAGAGCCCAAAUCGUCCAUUCGGAAGGAAUGAGCCCAAACUGUCCAUGAAAACUUGGUAAUCAACCAAUUCAACCACCAAUCAACCAUGAGGGAAUCAAG